AAAAAACAAAGUUAAGUCAGCCGUGUAAUGUCGUAACUCAACUAACUCAGCCGUAACGUUUACAAACUCGGCCAUUACUGCAUGCUAUUAUAGUAAUUAAUCUUUUGCACAUAAGUCAGUCGUAACAAGGCUGAGUUAUUUAGUAAUCCAACUCUUCACGGCUGAUUUAUAACACUCGAUCAUAACUCAGCCGUCACAUCAUCCCAUAACUAAGCCGUCCAAAAAUAUAACUCAGCCGUGUCAAAGAAAUAAGUCAACCGUUUUUUUCAUAACUCAGCCAUAACGUUGUCUGGAUUAUGCUAUAAAUUUUUAUAAUUCAGACAACAUUCCUUAACUCAGCCAUUCCGUUGCCUAAGUUAUCGUAUAACACAGACAACAUUUUACAAAUCAGCUGUAACGUCUGGUUGAGUUGUACUUAUACUUUGCCGUUUUGUUAUGACUCAUAUAUUUUUGUCGUAAGUCAGCCGCAACAUACCGUAACUCAGCCGUAACUACCGUUGUAUCGCGUUACGGCUGAGUUCAUUUAAUCCACGUCAGUAAUUUCUGACGUGGCAGUGGUAUUCCUUGUAAUUACGUUUUUUCCUGUAACGUUUAGUAGGGGCACGCUCAGUAUAAAAAAUAGACGAAAAUAUGGCAGUAAUAAAAAAAAGUUAUGUCUGUUCUUGUAAUUACACCUAAUUUGUAUUUUAUUUGAGUAAAUCUCCCUAAAGUGUUUUACCUAUUUUU
rnacentral:sRNA from 1 species